rnacentral:rRNA from 1 species
AACGAACGCUGGCGGCAUGCCUAACACAUGCAAGUCGAACGAAGGCUUCGGCCUUAGUGGCGCACGGGUGCGUAACGCGUGGGAAUCUGCCCUUUGGUUCGGAAUACCAGCUGGAAACGGCUGCUAUUACCGGAUGUUGACGAAAGCCCAAAGAUUUGUCGCCAGAGGAUGAGCCGGCGUGGGAUUAGUUAGUUGGUGGGGUAAAGGCCUACCAGGCCGACGAUCCAUAGCUGGUUUGGGAGGAUGGUCAGCCACACUGAAACUGGGACACGGCCCAGACUCCUACGGGAGGCAACAGUGGGGAAUAUUGGAGGAUGGGCGCAAGCAUGAUCCAGCAAUGCCGCGAGAGUGAUGAAGGCGCUAGGGUUGUAAAGCUCUAUUACACGGGAAGAUAAUGACUGUACCGGGCGAAUAAGCCCCGGCUAACUCCGUG